CUGCCGAAAGAAUCCCAGGAUGUAGCAGUGGAAAUAGAGAACUUCAACAGUAAACUUGGAUUGGGAAGUCCUAACCUGUAUCUGCUGAAAUGCUAGGUCACAAAGGAACUCCCCUGGGCACACACUGUGAAAACGACCCCUCUUCAUGGUCCUGUUCGUCUUGAUGGCUCUGAAAAUAGAUGCAACACAAUGCUGGAUUCAUCAUUCUCAUCAGAAGUUUGACCCCUGGAAUCAGCAAUGGGUCUGUCAUCAGACAACGCUCCCAGGACUGGUAAAAAUCAGACUAGUAAAAGACUCUAGGGAUGAGUUUUCUAUUUCGUAUUUCACCAGAGGGGUCAAGGGCACCACAAGAAAAUCCACAGAAUAAAAAUCCUGAGGUCAUAGAGCCUCAGAGAGACUUGACUGCCAAUCAAUCAGGGAACCUGUACGAAGCUGACCUAGGCACUUGGCACAUAUGUUAUGGUUGUACUGCUUGGUCUUCUUGAGGGACCCCUAACAGUGGGAGCACAGGCUGCAUUUGACUCUUUUACCUGCAUUUGGGCUCCUUUCCUCUAACUGUGUUGCCUUGCCUAGACUUAAUAUGAGGGAGGGUGCAACUUGAUAUGCCAUAUUUGGUUGAUAUCCCUGGGGGAUGGGGCUGCGGUUUUCUGAAGAGAUCAGGAGUGGGCUGUGGGAUUGUGCAAAAGGACUUGGAGAAAAAGAGGGAGAGGAAACUAUAGUUAGGGUGUAAUCUAUGACAGAAGAAUUAAUAAGAAUGCAAUACUAGGUAGGGAAGGGACUACUCAAGGAUUUAAACAAGAGUCUGCAGGGACAUUCCACAGUUUAACCAACACUGAAGUCCUUUAGGUUGAAUCAGGUUGAGUUCAUAUUAGUGCAGAUCCUAAACCAAUAGUGUUAAUGGGUAAGGUGGAGAGGCAGGGAGUAAGGGAAGAGGAUGGGAGAAAAAUGUGGGGUUUAAAGGCAGGCAGAUUUUCAAACACUGACUCUACAAUGCAAAGAACCAGGACUUGACAGUCAAUCUGAAUCUAGGUGUGACAAACAGUCUCCAUGAGCCUCCGGAGGAAUCAGGUAUGAAAACAGAUGGAUUUUAAAGUGUUGGAUGCCAGUCUGAGACAUGAUCCAUUUUUAUUUCACAGCAAUGUUGGCCCCAUUGAGUUGUAGAAGUUCUAUCACUGUCUUACAUAAGGUUUUAUUUCUGUGACCAGACACCACGAUCAGACCAACUCUUAUGAAAGAAAAGAUUUAAUUGUGGCUGGCUUACAGUUCAGUACUUAGUCCAUUGUCACCAUGCAGCAUUGGACAUACAGACAGUCAUAGUGCUGGACUGCUAGCUGAGAGAUCUAUAUCUGGAUUGUAGGCCGCAAGAAAGAGACAAUAAGCCACUACUCCUAGCUUGAGGUUUGGGGAUAUCAAAGUCCACUCUCAGUAAAUACCUCCUCAAUGAACACCAUGGUUACCUCAACAAGUCACAUCUGCUAAGAGUGCCAUUGCUUAUGGGCCUUUGGGGGUCAACUGAGUCAGACACUCACACUGAAACUUAUACACAAUCGAAGAUGGGGAUAUGGGGAAGCACUCUGUGGAAACUAAUUCUGGACAUUACAAAGCAGCAAUACCCUUCAGUAAGCAUGUUCUAAAAACCUGGAUACCCUGCUUCAUAUGUGUUCCAACUGUAUAUGGUAAGAGGCAGAGAGCAAAGCUAUGGACUACCUCAGGAUAGAAGUAAGUGAAGGAGACCACAGUCACUGUUUCUAUCUCCCAUAUAGAUCUUUCAAUUGCUUGGUUAGAAUCAAACGGAGGUAUUUUGUGUUAUUUGGGACUAUUGUGAAGGGUGUCAUUUCCCUAAUUUCUUUCUCAGCAUGGUUAUCCUUUGAAUAUUGGAAGGCUACUGAUUUGUUUGAGUUAAUUUUAUACCCAGCCACAUUGCUAAAGUUGUUUGUCAGGCUUAGUAGUUCUCUGGUGGAACUUUUGUGGUCACUUAAGUAUACUAAUCUGCAAAUAGUGAUAUGUUGACUACUUACAUCCCUUCGACCUCUUUCUGUUAUCUAAUUGCUCUGGCUAGGAUUUCAAGUACUAUAUUGAAUAGGUGGGAAGAGAGUGGGCAGCCUUGUCUAGUCCCUGAUUUUAGUGGAAUUGCUUCACGUUU
ensembl:lncRNA